rnacentral:rRNA from 1 species
GACGAACGCUGGCGGCGUGCUUAACACAUGCAAGUCGAACGGAAAGGCCCUGCUUUUGUGGCGUUCUCGAGUGGCGCACGGGUGAGUAACACGUGAGUAACCUGCCCUUGACUUUGGGAUAACUUCAGGAAACUGGGGCUCAUACCGGAUAGGAUCUCCUGCUCCAUGGUGGGGGUUGGAAAGUUUCGGCGGUUGGGGAUGGACUCGCGGCUUAUCAGCUUGUUGGUGGGGUAGUUGCUUACCAAGGCUUUGACGGGUAGCCGGCCUGAGAGGGUUACCGGCCACAUUGGGACUGAGAUACGGCGCAGACUCCUACGGGAGGCAGCAGUGGGGAAUAUUGCACAAUGGGCGGAAGCCUGAUGCAGCAACGCCGCGUGCGGGAUGACGGCCUUCGGGGUGUAAACCGCUUUCGCCUGUGACGAAGCGUGAGUGACGGUAAUGGGUAAAGAAGCACCGGCUAACUACGUG